AGCGGGCUCUAGAGACUUGAAGAAACUUGAAGAAAACACGCCCUGCUCUCAGUCUUGACAGGAUACAACACACAGCUCCUUUUUCGCCCCGUGUGCACACUGGCAUUGCGGUAAUGGCGGUGUAGUGGUUACAUUAAUUAACACAGGACUGUCUUUACCCGUGAUGUGCCGUGGCGCAAUUACCACGUAAAAUGGGUAGACUAGGUUUUCAGUGGGGUUCAGACUGGAGACGGGUGACCACUGGAAAACCUCCCCUCUGUGAUCAGUGAACCACUUCGUGUGUUUAUAUGAAGGAUUCAUAUCAGUGUCCGGCUGGGAGAUCCAGUGAUGAUCCAGAUUUAACAUCCUGAGAGAGGCAGUCUGCUUUUGCUCUGAAAUGUCCUAUAAACAUUCUCCUCUCUCUGCCCACUUGUUCAUUAGAGCAACUGGAUUUCUGUAAAACUGCUUUGUGUUAUUGUGUCUUAUAAAAGGCACUACAGAAAUAAACCUGAACGAAACUGAGUUAAA